GAAUUUCAGUGGCUACUAUCAUUAUCUGCUAAUAGUUGAUAUUAAAAACACUUUAAUAUAAUCUUUAAAGUCCUAUUAAUUGAAAACUUUGUAAUAUUUGACUUGCUUUGGGAUCCGUAUGCACUUUAAUAGUUUUACUUUUAAAACAAACUGAAUCUUUGGACACGUUGUCACUCUAAAUUGAACAGGAUAAUAAUGGCCCCAAUGUUUUAGAGCUUGGAUACCCCUCCCUUUGUUGGGGUAGAGGGUGGAGAUAAAGCCAAACACACAGAAAAUUGUUUUUAAAAGGUGGUAGCCAGGAGUUCCUGUAAUAGCGCAGCAGAAACAACCCGACUAGUAUCCAGGAGGACGCAAGUUCGAUCCUUGGCCUCACUCAGUAGAUUAAGGUAAGGAUCCAGUGUUGCUGUGAGCUGUGGUAUAGGUCGCAGACGCCUGCUCAGAUCCUGCGUGGCUGUGGCUAUGGUGUAGGUUGGCAGCUGUAGCUCCAAUUUGACCCCUAGCCUGGGAACUUCCAUAUGCCAUGUGUGUGGCCCUAAGAAGAAAAAAGAAAAAAGAACAAAGAAAAAAAAAGUGACAGCCAGAAGAUAUAUAAUUAAGAUAUCCGAAACUCAUGUAUACACAGUCUAGCUGGAUUGGUAAUGAGGCUUCCUAGACCGCUGCAUGUAGAAAAAGCAAAUUAUGAGGAGUGCUAUUAUUGGUUACUAGUAUCAGGCCUCUAGAUGACCACAAAUAUGGGACAACCUGUCAGGUAUGUAGGAUCCUGAAAAAUAGGAUGUAUGUAGGAUCCUGUUCUAAAAAUACCCACUCCUUGGAACUUAAGAAGUUCCAAGGCCAUUUAUACAACACUAAGCACAUAUCAUCCUGAGAAUAUCAUCCUUUUAUGUCAGAUUAUAGUAAUUUAUGUUCCAAUAAAUAAUUCUGAUUUUUCAAAAAAAGGAACUGUGCUAAGUUAACUUUUCAAUAAAAUCAUGAUCACAUAGUUCAUUUUAGAAAUAGUUACAUCCAACGUGAUUAAAAUGCUUUAAAAGAUAGGUUCUUUCUAAACUAUAAGUAAAAGACAACUAUUCAGAUAGGCUUAUCUCUUAAUAUCCUCAAGCAUUUACUAAAUGCUUCUGCUAUGUCAGACACCGUUAAUUCCUAGGAAGUUACAAAGAUUAAGGAGUAUGAGGCUUGCCCUCAAGAAGUUUGUAAUCUAGUGGAAUAGAUCUGAGGUGUAAAGUAAGCAGGGAGAAACCACUACCUCUUAGAGGGCUUUCCCCAGAAAGUCCCAGACAGAUGUGUUUUUUUCUUUUUUUAGUUAUUAUUGCUUAUUCUUCCUCUUAACCUAUAAGGAUCUUAAAUAUAUUUUUGGCUAGAGUGAAAACUUAAACUCUUUCAUAUGCAUAACUUGGAAUUCUCUGAUUUUCCCCAUAACUUAACUGAAAGUUAGGAGUUUGGUGAGCUCAAACAUGCUUCGUUUGUUUUUUUUUCAAGCCAAGGCUGUUGUGACGCACAGAAUGACUGUUGUCACCAGGGGAUGUGACUUUUUAUUAAAAGGAGAACAACCCCUUUAAUUUGCCUAACAACACUCCAUGUUGGGUUAAAAAUCAUUACUCCUAUUUUAUAGAUGAAGAAUGCAAUGUUCAGAGAAGUUAAUAAUUUAAUAAUAAUCAGAGUUCCCAUCGUGGCGCAGCAGAAAUGAAUCUGACUAGGAACCAUGAAGUUGCGGGUUUGAUCCCUGGACUUGCUCUGUGGGUUAAGGAUCUGGCGUUGCUGUGAGCUGUGGUGUAGGCCAGCAUUGGAUUCGUUAACCACUGCGCCACGAUGGGAACUCCUCAGCUUUAUUCUUAAUGGAAAUUAAGAAAAGGAAAGCUAUGCAUUCUAGAGUUAGGAAGGAGGCUUCAUGGAGAAACUGGAACUUAAGCAUUAGAAGACACAACCAAGGAGUUUCCUGGUGGCCCAGUGGGACCUGAUGUGGCAUGGGUUCAGUCCCUGACCCGGGA
ensembl:lncRNA